AGGGCGCACGGUGGAUGCCUUGGCACUAGAAGCCGAUGAAGGACGUUACUAACGACGAUAUGCUUUGGGGAGCUGUAAGUAAGCUUUGAUCCAGAGAUUUCCGAAUGGGGAAACCCAGCAUGAGUUAUGUCAUGUUAUCGAUAUGUGAAUACAUAGCAUAUCAGAAGGCACACCCGGAGAACUGAAACAUCUUAGUACCCGGAGGAAGAGAAAGAAAAUUCGAUUCCCUUAGUAGCGGCGAGCGAAACGGGAAGAGCCCAAACCAACAAGCUUGCUUGUUGGGGUUGUAGGACACUCUAUACGGAGUUACAAAGGACGACAUUAGACGAAUCAUCUGGAAAGAUGAAUCAAAGAAGGUAAUAAUCCUGUAGUCGAAAAUGUUGUCUCUCUUGAGUGGAUCCUGAGUACGACGGAGCACGUGAAAUUCCGUCGGAAUCUGGGAGGACCAUCUCCUAAGGCUAAAUACUCUCUAGUGACCGAUAGUGAACCAGUACCGUGAGGGAAAGGUGAAAAGCACCCCGGAAGGGGAGUGAAAUAGAACCUGAAACCGUGUGCUUACAAGUAGUCAGAGCCCGUUAAUGGGUGAUGGCGUGCCUUUUGUAGAAUGAACCGGCGAGUUACGAUUUGAUGCAAGGUUAAGCAGUAAAUGUGGAGCCGUAGCGAAAGCGAGUCUGAAUAGGGCGUUUAGUAUUUGGUCGUAGACCCGAAACCAGGUGAUCUACCCUUGGUCAGGUUGAAGUUCAGGUAACACUGAAUGGAGGACCGAACCGACUUACGUUGAAAAGUGAGCGGAUGAACUGAGGGUAGCGGAGAAAUUCCAAUCGAACCUGGAGAUAGCUGGUUCUCUCCGAAAUAGCUUUAGGGCUAGCCUCAAGUGAUGAUUAUUGGAGGUAGAGCACUGUUUGGACGAGGGGCCCCUCUCGGGUUACCGAAUUCAGACAAACUCCGAAUGCCAAUUAAUUUAACUUGGGAGUCAGAACAUGGGUGAUAAGGUCCGUGUUCGAAAGGGAAACAGCCCAGACCACCAGCUAAGGUCCCAAAAUAUAUGUUAAGUGGAAAAGGAUGUGGCGUUGCCCAGACAACUAGGAUGUUGGCUUAGAAGCAGCCAUCAUUUAAAGAGUGCGUAAUAGCUCACUAGUCGAGUGACACUGCGCCGAAAAUGUACCGGGGCUAAACAUAUUACCGAAGCUGUGGAUUGUCCUUUGGACAAUGGUAGGAGAGCGUUCUAAGGGCGUUGAAGCAUGAUCGUAAGGACAUGUGGAGCGCUUAGAAGUGAGAAUGCCGGUGUGAGUAGCGAAAGACGGGUGAGAAUCCCGUCCACCGAUUGACUAAGGUUUCCAGAGGAAGGCUCGUCCGCUCUGGGUUAGUCGGGUCCUAAGCUGAGGCCGACAGGCGUAGGCGAUGGAUAACAGGUUGAUAUUCCUGUACCACCUAUAAUCGUUUUAAUCGAUGGGGGGACGCAGUAGGAUAGGCGAAGCGUGCGAUUGGAUUGCACGUCUAAGCAGUAAGGCUGAGUAUUAGGCAAAUCCGGUACUCGUUAAGGCUGAGCUGUGAUGGGGAGAAGACAUUGUGUCUUCGAGUCGUUGAUUUCACACUGCCGAGAAAAGCCUCUAGAUAGAAAAUAGGUGCCCGUACCGCAAACCGACACAGGUAGUCAAGAUGAGAAUUCUAAGGUGAGCGAGCGAACUCUCGUUAAGGAACUCGGCAAAAUGACCCCGUAACUUCGGGAGAAGGGGUGCUCUUUAGGGUUAACGCCCAGAAGAGCCGCAGUGAAUAGGCCCAAGCGACUGUUUAUCAAAAACACAGGUCUCUGCUAAACCGUAAGGUGAUGUAUAGGGGCUGACGCCUGCCCGGUGCUGGAAGGUUAAGAGGAGUGGUUAGCUUCUGCGAAGCUACGAAUCGAAGCCCCAGUAAACGGCGGCCGUAACUAUAACGGUCCUAAGGUAGCGAAAUUCCUUGUCGGGUAAGUUCCGACCCGCACGAAAGGCGUAACGAUUUGGGCACUGUCUCAACGAGAGACUCGG
rnacentral:rRNA from 1 species